ensembl:misc_RNA Y_RNA Y RNA
GGCUGGUCUGAUGGUAGAGAGUUAUUAUAAUGUAUUAACAUUAGCGUCACUAAAGUUGGUAUACAACCCCCCACUACUAAAUGUGACUGUCUAAA